rnacentral:rRNA from 1 species
UCGGGAAACUUUUGCAAUGCGCGAAAGCGUGACAAAGCAAGCCAGAGUGUUUCUUUUAUUAAAGAAACUUUUGUCAGCUGUAAAAAGGCUGAUGAAUAAGGACUGGGCAAGACCGGUGCCAGCCGCCGCGGUAAUACCGGCGGUCCAAGUCGCAGCCAUCAUUAUUGGGUCUAAAACAUCCGUAGCUUGUUUUGCAAGUCUCUUGUGAAAUCUAACAUCUCAAGUGUUAGGCGUGCAAGAGAUACUACAAAACUAGAGACCGGAAGACGUAACGAGUACAACCAAGGUAGUGGUAAAAUACGUUAAUCUUGGUUGGACUAACAAUGGCGAAGGCACGUUACGAGGACGGAUCUGACAGUGAGGGAUGAAGGCUAGGGGCGCAAAACGGAUUAGAUACCCGUGUAGUCCUAGCAGUAAACACUGCACACUAAACAUCAGUACCUCCUCGAGAGGUAUUGGUGCUGUAGGGAAGCCGAAGAGUGUGCUACCUGGGAAGUAUAGCCGCAAGGCCG